rnacentral:rRNA from 1 species
AGCGGCGGACGGGUGAGUAACGCGUGGGUAACCUGCCUCGUACAGGGGGAUAACAGUUGGAAACGGCUGCUAAUACCGCAUAAGCGCACAGUACCGCAUGGUACCGUGUGAAAAACUCCGGUGGUAUGAGAUGGACCCGCGUCUGAUUAGCUAGUUGGUGGGAUAACGGCCUACCAAGGCGACGAUCAGUAGCCGACCUGAGAGGGUGACCGGCCACAUUGGGACUGAGACACGGCCCAA